UCUUGAUAAAGGCACUCUUUCUGAAAAGUAAGUUCGCAAAGCUUUGAGUCUAAGGUAUUAUACUAAGGUUGUCAAAGCUGCCAAA
rnacentral:ncRNA from 3 species